GGAGGCUCAUCGAAGCGGACGAAGCCCCUGACUCGAGGAUUGCAGGGGAGUACAAGCCUACAAGGUGGAAGACACGGAGGCGGUGCUUAAGAUUGGGUUGGCUUGCUGCCAUCCUGACCCUGACGAAAACGCAUUUGUCUAGUUUCCGCAAAUCUUAUUUGAAGACAUCCUUUGUUACAGUCCAAAAACUGAUGCAUGUGAAGAAUGAUGCUAGAUGAUGUUGAAAGAAACCAGGCAAAGAUUGAUGCUAUAGAGGCAUAUGAAUCUAUAUUAAGCUGCAAAAGGAUUUUCUCUGUUCAAGGGUGUUCCAAUAAUACUUUCUACCUGGUUUUUGAUGGUCCAUAUGCUUGUACCAUGGCUUCAGCAAGCAAUGACCUCGGGACUUCAUAGACUUGCGUCGUUGAUCUCCGUGAGUAUGACAUUCCCUGUCACGUUCUUUUUGCCAUUGAUAAUGGUGAUUUAAAAUAUUUUCUAUUAAUUUUGGAGCUUAGAUUUCCUUUCACAGUUUCUAUGGUUUAUAAUGAACAAUAAUUUCGAUGAUUAUGAAUUGUCACAACUAAACUUCCUUUUAAAUUUCCAGAUGCUAAAUAUGAUAUAAUAACGAUGAUAUCAUACAUGAUGGAUCUCUCUCUCUCUC